rnacentral:lncRNA from 1 species
GGGGGAAAGGGAGAGUAUCAUGGUUACAGCUGGAUCACCUAAGGCAGAGAGGGAAGGAACCAACAGGUAUAUGAAGAAGACUGUAUUUCCUCCUCAGGAAGAAAAAAUCACCUAUAAUCUUCCAACAGUGCUUCCCUUGGUUGAAACCACAUGGUAACCAUUGAGCAGAAGAACCUAGGAAAUACAGUUUUCAGAACAGCAAGCACUCUCAAAACCAUUUCUAUCUUACACCUUCAGAGAAGCCAGCCUUCAUUAAAGACUGAAUGAAGUAAAAUAAAGACUUAACACAGACUGGCAAAUUGGAUAAAGAGUCAAGACCAAUCAGUGUGUUUUAUUCAGGAGACCCAUCUCACGUGCAGAGACACACAUAGGCUCAAAAUAAAGGGAUGGAGGAAGAUCUACCAAGCAAAUGGAAAACAAAAAAA